rnacentral:rRNA from 1 species
UACGUAGGGUGCGAGCGUUAAUCGGAAUUACUGGGCGUAAAGCGUGCGUAGGCGGUUCGUUAAGUUCGUUGUGAAAGCCCCGGGCUCAACCUGGGAACUGCAAUGGAAACUGGCGGACUUGAGUGUGGCAGAGGGGGGUGGAAUUCCACGUGUAGCAGUGAAAUGCGUAGAUAUGUGGAGGAACACCGAUGGCGAAGGCAGCCCCCUGGGUUAACACUGACGCUCAUGCACGAAAGCGUGGGGAGCAAACAGG